CCAUUGCCUACUGCCUAAGACCUAUUGCCUGGAAGCGCGUCAAAGACGCGCUUGUGUUUCUAAGCAUUGUUAUGAGGUAUCUUCACCUGAAUAAAAUAGGGUGUAAGAAGCGAACGAAGGGGAACUGAAACAUCUAAGUACCUGCAGGAAAGGACAUCAACCGAGACUCCGCAAGUAGUGGCGAGCGAACGCGGACCAGGCCAGUGGCAAUGAAGUAUAACACGUGGAAGAACCUGGAAAGGUUUGCCGUAAGGGUGACAGCCCCGUACGCGUAGAUGACUUUAUUGUCCUAGAGUAGGGCGGGACACGGUGAAAUCCUGUCUGAACAUGGGGAGACCACUCC
rnacentral:rRNA from 1 species